AGAGUUUGAUCCUGGCUCAGGACGAACGCUGGCGGCGCGCCUAACACAUGCAAGUCGAACGGAGCUUAGAGAGCUUGCUUUUUAAGCUUAGUGGCGAACGGGUGAGUAACGCGUGAGUAACCUGCCCUAGAGUGGGGGACAACAGUUGGAAACGACUGCUAAUACCGCAUAAGCCCACGGUGCCGCAUGACACUGAGGGAAAAGGAUUUAUUCGCUUUAGGAUGGACUCGCGUCCAAUUAGCUAGUUGGUGAGGUAACGGCCCACCAAGGCGACGAUUGGUAGCCGGACUGAGAGGUUGAACGGCCACAUUGGGACUGAGACACGGCCCAGACUCCUACGGGAGGCAGCAGUGGGGAAUAUUGCACAAUGGGGGAAACCCUGAUGCAGCGACGCCGCGUGGAGGAAGAAGGUUUUCGGAUUGUAAACUCCUGUCGUUAGGGACGAUAAUGACGGUACCUAACAAGAAAGCACCGGCUAACUACGUGCCAGCAGCCGCGGUAAAACGUAGGGUGCAAGCGUUGUCCGGAAUUACUGGGUGUAAAGGGAGCGCAGGCGGGAAGACAAGUUGGAAGUGAAAUCCAUGGGCUCAACCCAUGAACUGCUUUCAAAACUGUUUUUCUUGAGUAGUGCAGAGGUAGGCGGAAUUCCCGGUGUAGCGGUGGAAUGCGUAGAUAUCGGGAGGAACACCAGUGGCGAAGGCGGCCUACUGGGCACCAACUGACGCUGAGGCUCGAAAGUGUGGGUAGCAAACAGGAUUAGAUACCCUGGUAGUCCACACCGUAAACGAUGAUUACUAGGUGUUGGAGGAUUGACCCCUUCAGUGCCGCAGUUAACACAAUAAGUAAUCCACCUGGGGAGUACGACCGCAAGGUUGAAACUCAAAGGAAUUGACGGGGGCC
rnacentral:rRNA from 1 species